CAGCCGCCUCGGGAAUACGGAGGGUGCAAGCGUUAAUCGGAAUUACUGGGCGUAAAGCGCACGCAGGCGGUUUGUUAAGUCAGAUGUGAAAUCCCCGAGCUUAACUUGGGAACUGCAUUUGAAACUGGCAAGCUAGAGUCUUGUAGAGGGGGGUAGAAUUCCAGGUGUAGCGGUGAAAUGCGUAGAGAUCUGGAGGAAUACCGGUGGCGAAGGCGGCCCCCUGGACAAAGACUGACGCUCAGGUGCGAAAGCGUGGGGAGCAAACAGGAUUAGAUACCCCAGUAGUCCCUGUCUCUUAUAC
rnacentral:rRNA from 1 species